rnacentral:rRNA from 1 species
GAUGAACGCUGGCGGCGUACCUAAUACAUGCAAGUCGAGCGAACGGACGAGAAGCUUGCUUUUCUGAUGUUAGCGGCGGACGGGUGAGUAACACGUGGAUAACCUACCUAUAAGACUGGGAUAACUUCGGGAAACCGGAGCUAAUACCGGAUAAUAUUUUGAACCGCAUGGUUCAAAAGUGAAAGACGGUCUUGCUGUCACUUAUAGAUGGAUCCGCGCUGCAUUAGCUAGUUGGUAAGGUAACGGCUUACCAAGGCAACGAUGCAUAGCCGACCUGAGAGGGUGAUCGGCCACACUGGAACUGAGACACGGUCCAGACUCCUACGGGAGGCAGCAGUAGGGAAUCUUCCGCAAUGGGCGAAAGCCUGACGGAGCAACGCCGCGUGAGUGAUGAAGGUCUUCGGAUCGUAAAACUCUGUUAUUAGGGAAGAACAUAUGUGUAAGUAACUGUGCACAUCUUGACGGUACCUAAUCAGAAAGCCACGGCUAACUACGUG